rnacentral:lncRNA from 10 species
GUACUUCUCAUGCACAGUCCUGUCCUACCCUCCUGCCUGUUCCUGGGGAUCACAGGACAAGCCUGCAUUCCUCUACAGAGGUCUGGAUGGGAUCCAUUAGGUCACGGGGCACCGCAUGGGGCUCAUGUGGCAAUGCUGCCAGGAUGACUUAGCAGCCUCAGGGCCACUGGCAGGUUUCUGGACUGAUGGAUAAUUCUAUUCCCCAACUGUCACAACCUCCAAGCCUCAACUUGUCCCUGUGGCAGCUUGCUGCAUCUGUGGCUAAUGCUACAAGGCACAAAGGAUUCUGCUCUACUGGAGCACUACUCAGUGGCAUGCUGAUCCUUUGGUCCUUCCCUGCACCUCAGUCCCUUUUUGAGAGACACCCGAGGUGCAGGAGAAGUAAAGUCACUAAGAGUUUUCUCUGGUUGAGCUUCUGGCUCAUGGCUAUCAGACAGACUUGGCUGUAGAGUCUGAGAAGACAAAGGGUCCCUGACACUCCUCACUAUGUUGCCCCUGGACAAUAUGGGGGCUCUCCUGUGUCCCAAACUGCUUCAUUGAUGGACAAAAAGUCCCAACACAAUUCUCAACCCCCAAGUCACUUGAGGGACCAUAGCUUGGCAUGACCCCAAGGUUAUUCCUCUGAAAUAAAAUGAUCUGCAAGUGAAACGCCAUGGCAGUUUUCUGCUGAGGAUGUGGGACAACUACAGAAACAGAAGGCUGGAGCCUCAUUGUGCUCUCAUGAGGUCAGAAAGCCUGGCACCUGACCUCAAACAUGUUUUAUCUGGGAGUCUUCCUCUUUCAUGACAUUCACAGAAGGCCUAUGGUGUGCCAGGCCCCGUGGACAGCACUGUGGACACAGAUGCAUAAUAACAGUUCCUACCCUCCAGAUAGAGAGGCAAGAAAGGGCUGUGGAAGCAAACCCAAGGUACUAAGGAAGCCGGGAAGAGAACCUACUCUAGACUUGGAAGUUGAAGGGGUCAAGAAACAUUCCUAGAGAAGAUACCUGAGUCUUGAAAACUGAGAAGGAAUUAGUAACCCAACAGAGGUGGGAACUUUCUGAGGACGGAGAUGGAGAGGAAGAUGCUGCCAGCUGAGGGACCACCAUUCUGAAAGCUAGGAGAAAGUGCGCGAUGGAAAGUGGGCCUGAGGGAAAGGCUGUAAGCACCUCACUAUUAAUCACAAUUCUCCCUAUAGGAAAAUAAAUGCUGUUUCUACUUCAGCAAGUUUUUUUCCUUUUGUUUACAUUUUUUCUCAUUAUGAAGUGAUCAUCCUUUAAUUUGGAUGUGAACACUACGUCUAUUUGCAGGACAGACUCACUGUUCUAUAGAGCUCAAGAUUAUUACCAG